GGGCUUUCUGCAGUGCCUUGACAAUUCAAUGAAGACAGAACAAGAGUUGAAGAGUCUCACCAUGGGAGAAAUAAGGAGCAAAAGCAGCAGUCAACUCUGGUUUGGGGAACAGUGACCGAGUCUGACAGGCUGCAUCCUUCUCUACAUGACUUCUAUGAAAACAAGACGCGACUUCUGCGUCUCGGGCUUCCUUGAUGAAGUGGUUCAGGACCCUCAGGUCACAGAUCGGCCUCAGCGGGGACGGGAGGCCUGGCCGGGUCCACUCCAACACUACCAACA